UUAAAUUACUCGAUUUUUGAUCAUUGAUCCUUAAUGUUAUCACGAACAUCAUAAACAUAGACUAAUUGCCUAUCCUCUCAACAACACCUAUGCUAACAAAAUAGACUAAUUAUCAUGAUACCAUCACUAACAUCAUAGCAUUCCUCUAGAGCCUCAUUGUCUUAUUAUCAUCAACAUGUGUACCACCAUCAUGAAUAACCUCAUCAUGACUACCACCAUGAGCCUCCAUAUAACCAUAAACAUCAUAGUGGAAAGAAUCAGUCUCACUCGUAUACCCUACCUCACCCACUUGUAGCCUUCCCUAUAGGUUAUAUGUAGCCUCCUCUAUAGAUCAUUUGUAUCCUUCCCUACAAAUAUGCUCGUGUAGUCCCGCAAUUUAGCUAAAGAACAUGUAUUUCUGCCACACAAGGACAAGGAAAACAUCAUCACCCCACACAAGGAAGGUUCAAUACUCGAACAUCAUUCUCUUUUCCAUAGUUAUUUGCUAAAAAGAAUAUCCCUCCAUUUUCAACAACCAAUGCCAAAGGGAGCACCUAUCCGCAGAUAAUAUCACGAUUUACUAGGUACAACAAUUAGACCUAUCCUCUAUUUUAUUCUCAUCAACCGCACAUUUAGGUAGACCCCACCACUCACUCAUGCUCCAAUCUCAACCACAAGUCAAACUUGACCCUAAACAUAACCACUAAUAUCAUUCUCUAAAUAUAUUUCACUCCACAGCUCCUCAAGCUUGAUCCACGUCCAUUCUUCAUCAAAUUCGACAUUUUUAACAAAAAUACACUAGGAUAAUCGAUUUUCAUAAGUGAUA
rnacentral:lncRNA from 1 species